AGUGAACGCUGGCGGUAGGCCUAACACAUGCAAGUCGAACGGCAGCACAGUAAGAGCUUGCUCUUACGGGUGGCGAGUGGCGGACGGGUGAGGAAUACAUCGGAAUCUACUUUUUCGUGGGGGAUAACGUAGGGAAACUUACGCUAAUACCGCAUACGACCUACGGGUGAAAGCAGGGGAUCUUCGGACCUUGCGCGAAUGAAUGAGCUGAUGUCGGAUUAGCCAGUUGGUGGGGUAAAGGCCCACCAAGGCGACGAUCCGUAGCUGGUCGGAGAGGAUGAUCGGCCACACGGGAACGGGGACACGGUCCGGACUCCUACGGGGGGCAGCAUUGGGGAAUAUUGGACAAUGGGGGCAAGCUGGAUCCAGCCAGACCGCGUAGGUGAGGAGGUCCUUCGGGUGUUAAAGCCCGUUUGUUGGGAAAGAAAAGCAGCAGGGUAAUACCCCGCUGUUCUGACGGUACCCAAAGAAUAAGCACCGGCUAACUUCGUG
rnacentral:rRNA from 1 species